CUACAUUGAUUCGCCCAAAGUCAAUACUUGUAAAAAUAUAUAUAUAUAUAUAUUAUGAAAUGCUUACCUUGUACCUAUGUUUUUCCUCAGUAGUUGCGUGCCUUUCUUUGUUUGCUGAAAUCCAUACUUUUUCAUUAAACCUUAAUCGAAUACAACCACCUGCUGUUUCCUUAAGAUUCAAUUGGCACAUGCUCAUUUUCACUGAGUUGCCAUCUUAGAGCAACAGCAAUGAGCAAACAGUCAGUGGUUGCAUUUGAUUAACAUUUAUUGAAAAGGUAUGGAUUUCAUCAAAUAAAGGCACGCAACUACAGAGGACAAACAUAGGUACAAGGAACAAUGAGGCGACACCUGACUCGAUACGCCGUUACGCAGGAAAGAUUGUGGAAUACAUUGCCCAGUCAACCACUGCUUUCUCUCAGGAAGAUGUUUCCGGUGUAGGCCUACAUAACAUCUUGGGGAAGACGGUAGAGGGCCUUCUCCAAAAAGUGUGCGGAGGGGUCUCAAGCGUCCUGAACAAAUAUUUGUAUGGGGCGGGGGUGUUAUCUGAUGCGGUGAUCCCAGUAAAUCUCUUGCCUGUAGCUCCAAAUGGGGACAAUCAGAAAAUGGAAAAAAGAUGGCAGGACUGCACUGAGGAAGACUGUGAACUGAUAAUUAUCAGACUGACAGGGACUGUAAUUAUCACCAUGUUGGAUAGUGUUAUGGAGAGUUGCAGGAUGGACCCCACACACAGUUCAUUCUUAGAAGAACUGGGGCUCACCAUGGAAAUGGUAAAGAUCAUACGUGACGUAGCAGAAUGUGCAGCAAACGCCACAAGUAAUGAUUUCAGUCAGUUCACAGUCGGAGGAGUUCCUCUCUUUCAGAGACCACUGAGCAAUCUCUCUUCUGGGCCCAGUCAACCAGCACCCCCCCAAAAUGCCUUGCCAACAUCCACUGUUCCCACACCUGUCUCAAAGGUGAGCUCAGCCAGUCCCAGAUCCACUGACUCAGGGUCCUCACAAGUCAGGAAGCCAAGACAAUCAACAGAAGGAGUUCAGAGCCUCUCCGAAAGGCAGCAGGACUCAGGGGAGGAGAUCACAUCUCUAGUGAUUGAAACCAUUCUACGGUCAGUUGCGGAUUUAGCCAGGCAUGGACUUCUGCCAAGCUGCACCCAGUAGACUGGAUGCCCCCUUUUUAUGGAGGUGAUGCAGAAAACAAACAUGUGAAGCCAAUUCAUAAAAGCAUUAAUUAAACAAAUAUGUUGUUUAAAGGUGAGUCAGCGGUUUGUUUCUAUGGCAACAAAGACAUGAAAUAAAGUGAAAUGUACUACUGUUUUUAUUUUUUAUUUAUGAAAGCCUUAUGAAGGGAUUUAACACAGAACGUUGUGUUAAAAGAUGAAUGUCAGUACAGAAUCAAGUACUGAAUGUGAAAUGGCAGUGCAGAUAUGAUAUAUUUUCCAACAACAAAAGAAUGUUUAACAAGACUCCAUCCAAGGAUACAUUCAGGUCACCAGAUGGUGUUCUACUCUAGAAUAAUAAUAUUGAUUAUAGCAAGCAACACUGUAUGAAAGCUCAGAUAGCCUAAUAAAAUAAAAAAUAUGAACGUUUUAAAACAAAGAAAAGGUGUAGAGGUUACAUGCCUGAGUUUCUCAAUAUGGGUUUCU
rnacentral:lncRNA from 1 species